GAUGAACGCUAGCGGAGGCUUAAUACAUGCAAGUCGAGCGGCAAGUUUGAUAGCAAUAUUGGAACCUAGAGCGGCGCACGGGUGAGUAACGCGUACAUGACCUGCCCUAUACUGGGGGAUAGUCUUGGGAAACUGAGAAUAAUCCCGCAUGUGAUUAGAAUGCUGCAUGGCAAAUUAAUUAAAGCUGAGGCGGUAUAGGAUGGGUGUGCGUCUGAUUAGCUAGUUGGUAGUGUAACGGACUACCAAGGCGAUGAUCAGUAGGGGGCGUGAGAGCGUGACCCCCCACACGGGUACUGAGACACGGACCCGACUCCUACGGGAGGCAGCAGUAAGGAAUAUUGGGCAAUGGUCGAAAGACUGACCCAGCCAUGCCGCGUGCAGGAUGAAGGCCCUAUGGGUUGUAAACUGCUUUUAGCCGGGAAUAAACACCCGUUUUAUAACGGGCCCGAAGGUACCGGCUGAAUAAGCAUCGGCUAACUCCGUG
rnacentral:rRNA from 1 species